UCGCGGCAAUACUGCAGGAAACCACAGCCUCCACCCCAACCGCCUCGGUGCUCCUCCGCUGGCGCUGGUUUGCUGAAGUCUGCCGCGUAUGCGGCUUUCACAUCGUCGUCGUUGCCCAGUGCUGCCCUAACACCACAGCAUCUCCAUCCCUCAGCGAGGAUGCAGCCUCUUGGCAUCCCCCGCCAGGGCGGCGCGCCUGCUGCAUCAGCUCUUACGCCGCCGCCGGCUGUCGCUCCGUCCCUUUCUCUGCCACCGGACACCACCGUGCUCUCUGUCCACUCGGCCGCCUCUGGCAACAUCUCCCGUAUCGGUGUUCGCGACGUUGCUGAACUCGUACGCCACCUUGCCGAGUCCCGCUACAUGACCCGGCAACUGCAGCAGCGCGUCCAUCAGAUGGAGUCCUUCUCCUCCAUGAAAACCGCAGCAACAGGCGACUCCGUCGUGAGCGGCGUUCCCACGCAGCAAGGCACCACAGCCGCAUCGCAGGCGGCUGGCGAACGCCUUGCCACGAGUGGUGACGCCGAUGCCGCCGCCGCAGUUGAGCAGGCGACACCUCUUCAUCACCCCAAUCAAAGGAUGGCGACGAGCGAGAGGCGGCAGCGCACCGCCAACGCGCGAGGUGGGGAGUGGACGCGCACGGCAGCCCGCGCCUCCGCAAAGGCGGCAAAUAGGACGAGGCGGGUCUUUGCAGCCUUUCCUCGGUCUCGGUCGCGCGACUCCCUCUCUCCUCGCUCUACACACCGCUGCCCCUCGACAACGCCGUCGGCGCCCGCCACAGCAUCGACCACCGCAUCUGCAACCACCAGCAGCCUGCCGUCCACCAGUCCAGCCAGCUCCAUCGCCGAGCUGCCAGCGCGUUGUGCGUCUCGUUCUCCGUCAUCGCGGUGUGCGUCGAACGGGGCCUGCUCGACCACACCCCCGAGACACCGGCGGCGCCGAGCAUCACGAAGACCGUAUGGGUCUCGCCGAACGCACUCGGCACUAGAGAGGCCAAGACAGCGGCCGCACUCUUCGGCCCCCGCCAACUGUCGCGACACCGCCGCAGAUUUGCCGCGUAAGCCGGAGAUGCAGCGCCGCAGAGGCAGUGCCGAGCGCCGCCGAACACAGAGUCGCUCGCGGAUGCGCCGCUAUCACAGCGCGCGCAGCAGCCACGAUAUCACGUUGACGGCAGAGAGAGGAGAUGGAGAUGCAUGUGCCGCAGCGCACGCUGCGUCCAUUUCUCUGGCCUGCCACUGCCCACGCUCCUCAGCGACCGAGUCGAGGCGACAUCGCCGCGCUAAAAGCACUGCCACACAGGCAAGACACCGCGUCUCCUUUUCCAGCUUGCCGCCUCCGCCAGCCGCGUUGCCUGCGCUGGACCAGAUGCGGGGCGCAUCAUCGAAGAAGGUAAAGGCGCUUGUUUGGCAGAGGCGCUACUACGAUUUACUGAACCGGUACACGGACGAGACGACGCGGCGGGAUGCCGAUCUGGCCGAUAUCCACGAGAUGAUCGAGUACAUUAGCUGGGAGCAAGACCGAUCUCGGCAUUGCCAUCGUCAGCGGCACCACGCGCAGACCGUGGAGGGUGAUGCAGGUGGCGGAGAGCGUCAGUUGUCACGAGUUGAUGCAACACCGCGUGGCAGCGCGCGAGGUUCCGCGGAUGCACCUCAUGCCGCAAGCGACGAACACGCUGUAGCGACACCACAGGCGGUCGCUCACACCACCAACAACGGUACCAUGCGCACCAAGGCCGAUGACGGCGGCCCCGGCGGUAGUGCUACCGUGAGUGAUGCGGUGGCCCCUGUACACGACUCUCUGGAGUGCAUCGAAGCGCUGCGUUGUGAGGCGGACGCGUGGCGACAGCGUUGCCUUGCCCUCCUCCAACAGCAGCAGAAGCUGCAACAGCCACAACAGCGGCUAGAAGGAGAGGUGACGUGGGCCAGCGACACGUCCGUCGCGCCACUGCCACCGCGGCCUUCGUCGGUGGCGGCAGGGCGGUCACCGCUGACACUCGGCACUGGGUCCACCUCACGUCAGGUAGAGCUGCUGAUGAGCACGCAUACGUCCACCACGGCGGACGAAGGAGCAGGUGUCACACCUGGGGGUGGGCACGGUGAGUGUGAAGGGGAUGCCUGCACUGCAGCAGCGCAUCUCACUGAGAAUGCUGUGCACGGCAGGGCGUCACCUCCAGCGCUGCCAAGCUACCCCACAACGCCAGCGUCUAUGGUUGCGCAGACACCGCAGUGCGCAUCACCAAGUGCCACCCCAGCAGCAGCGGCAGGAGAUGCUUCUUCACCGGGCCUCCAGCUGUACCAUCCGUACGCCCCGCCACGCCUGGCUACCAGCUCGCACGUCUCCUCGGUAGGGGCGGCGAACUUCGAUUCACGCUUUCCGACGCCACCGCUGCCGUCGCAUGCCCGACAACCAGUGCAGCCCGCAGGCGGCGCGCCGUCGCCGCCAACGGGCUUUUCCAGCCCUAUGGCUUCUCCCUUGCACACCGCGCCAGCGAAGCCACCUCUAUUUGUGGGUGUGCCUGGGUACCAGCCGCUGAGCACACGCCAUGACUCGCGUGCCGCCUGGCCGAGUCAGGCUUUUCCAGCCUCACUCCCGUCAGGUAAAGCUCCGCCAUACGGCACCAGCGCCGACUACACUUUUCCUGCCGCUGCUUCAGCCUUCCAUGGUGCGCCGUCCUUCGACGCGAGCGACGCCUCCGCGUGGAGAGGCGUGACGAGAGGUGGGGCGCCGCAGGGCCGCGGAUAUGCAGCCAGCAGCGCGUCCCCGUGGUCGAUCGAUGCGACUCUUGAGCACCAGCGUCACAGCAACUUGCCAGCUUCCUCCCCCACCGCCGUGCCCGAGGCGCUCACGCCGUACCCGCACGCUUCCUCCCUCCUCCACGUGCCUCCUCCUUCUUUGUCCAUGGCUGCAGAGCUUGUGUGCGCGCGCGAGCAACUGGAGCGCGAUAUUCGCCGACAUGACCAGCUGCUGGCUGCGAUUGGAAAGCUGCAGAAGACGGCUGCCGAGCACGCCACGCGACGCGGGCUCUAAAGGCACCUCAAGACGGAGGGAGCAGGCAACGCGGUUAGGGCGGGUGAGGGACGCGUGCGGAGCGUCCGCCUCCUUUUUCGACUCCUGAUCGUGCCCCCUUGUUCUCUCCUCUCCGGUGAAGUGUUGACGACUGCAGCGCGAUCGACGCCACAUGCAUCGUUCACACGCGUAUCCUCUGCCUGCGCACACGCUGCCGGGGCGGGGAGGCGUGUCCUCCUCUUCCUCCUUUUUUCCCGUCCACCACACCGGCGUGCGUCUCUCUCCCUUUCUCUAUGCGAGAGAACAUGCCCAUCACGGACGUUAAGGCAAGCGAGAUUGUGAGUGGUGGUGAUGAGGGAUGAAGAAGAGGCGACAGCUGACGUUGAUCAAGGCACAGAGAAUGCUCUCUCCCCACUUCGGUGGAUGACGACGCCUGGGGUGCAAUGGGCGGCCUGCUCGAGGCAGCGCACGCUCUACCGCCAAGUCGACCAGGAGCC
rnacentral:misc_RNA from 1 species